rnacentral:rRNA from 1 species
UUUGCAUAUCCAAAAAGCGGAGGAAAAGAAACCAACAGGGAUUGCCUCAGUAACGGCGAGUGAAGCGGCAACAGCUCAAAUUUGAAAUCUGGCCUCUCGGGGUCCGAGUUGUAAUUUGUAGAGGAUGUUUUGGGUACCGCCCCGGUUUAAAUUUCUUGGAACAGAAUGUCAGAGAGGGUGAGAAUCCCGUCUUGGACCGGCGGUAGGGCCUGUGUAAAACUCCUUCGACGAGUCGAGUUGUUUGGGAAUGCAGCUCAAAAUGGGUGGUAAAUUUCAUCUAAAGCUAAAUAUUGGCCAGAGACCGAUAGCGCACAAGUAGAGUGAUCGAAAGAUGAAAAGAACUUUGAAAAGAGAGUUAAACAGUAUGUGAAAUUGUUGAAAGGGAAGCGCUUGCAACCAGACUUGAGCGCGACGGUUCCCCUAGCCUUUUGGCUAGGUUACUCUGUCGUGUCCAGGCCAACAUCGGUUCUGAGGGUCGGUCAAAGGCCCCGGGAAUGUACCUACCCACGGGUAGACUUAUAGACCGGGGUGUCAUGCGGCCUCUCGGGACCGAGGAACGCGCUUCGGCUCGGAUGUUGGCGUAAUGGUUGUCAGCGACCCGUCUUGAGCCCACCGGACCAAAAA